rnacentral:rRNA from 1 species
UACGAAGGGGGCUAGCGUUGUUCGGAAUUACUGGGCGUAAAGCGCGCGCAGGCGGUCUUCCAAGUCAGUGGUGAAAGCCCGGAGCUCAACUCCGGAACUGCCAUUGAAACUGUUAGACUUGAGGAUGAGAGAGGUGAGUGGAAUUCCCAGUGUAGAGGUGAAAUUCGUAGAUAUUGGAAAGACCACCAAUGGCGAAGGCACUCUACUGGGCCACAACUGACACUGAGAGACGAAAGCUAGGGGAGCAAAUGGG